GUGCCAGCUGCCGCGGUAAUACGGAGGGAGCUAGCGUUGUUCGGAAUUACUGGGCGUAAAGCGUACGUAGGCGGUUAUUCAAGUCAGGGGUGAAAGCCUGGAGCUCAACUCCAGAACUGCCCUUGAAACUAGAUAACUAGAAUCUUGGAGAGGUGAGUGGAAUUCCGAGUGUAGAGGUGAAAUUCGUAGAUAUUCGGAAGAACACCAGUGGCGAAGGCGACUCACUGGACAAGUAUUGACGCUGAGGUACGAAAGCGUGGGGAGCAAACAGGAUUAGAUACCCUGGUAGUCCACGCCGUAAACGAUGAUAACUAGCUGUUCGGGCUCUACGAGCUUGAGUGGCGCAGCUAACGCAUUAAGUUAUCCGCCUGGGGAGUACGGUCGCAAGAUUAAAACUCAAAUGAAUUGACGG
rnacentral:rRNA from 1 species